AAAUUGAAGAGUUUGAUCAUGGCUCAGAUUGAACGCUGGCGGCAGGCCUAACACAUGCAAGUCGAACGGUAACAGGAAGCAGCUUGCUGCUUUGCUGACGAGUGGCGGACGGGUGAGUAAUGUCUGGGAAACUGCCUGAUGGAGGGGGAUAACUACUGGAAACGGUGGCUAAUACCGCAUAAUGUCGCAAG
rnacentral:rRNA from 1 species